CACGUAGGGGGCAAGCGUUGUCCGGAUUUAUUGGGCGUAAAGAGCUCGUAGGCGGUUCGGUAAGUCGGGUGUGAAACCUCCAGGCUCAACCUGGAGACGCCACUCGAUACUGCUGUGACUAGAGUCCGGUAGGGGAGCGUGGAAUUCCUGGUGUAGCGGUGAAAUGCGCAGAUAUCAGAGGAACACCAGCGGCGAAGGCGGCGCUCUGGGCCGGAACUGACGCUGAGGAGCGAAAGCGUGGGUAGCAAACAGG
rnacentral:rRNA from 1 species